CAGCCGCCGCGGGAAAACGUAGGGUGCGAGCGUUAAUCGGAAUUACUGGGCGUAAAGCGUGCGCAGGCGGCUUUGCGAGACAGAUGUGAAAUCCCCGGGCUCAACCUGGGAACUGCAUUUGUGACUGCAAGGCUAGAGUGCGGCAGAGGGAGAUGGAAUUCCGCGUGUAGCAGUGAAAUGCGUAGAUAUGCGGAGGAACACCGACGGCGAAGGCAAUCUCCUGGGCCUGCACUGACGCUCAUGCACGAAAGCGUGGGGAGCAAACAGGAUUAGAUACCCGUGUAGUCCCUGUCUCUUAUAC
rnacentral:rRNA from 1 species